rnacentral:rRNA from 1 species
AUACGGAGGAUGCGAGCGUUAUCCGGAUUUAUUGGGUUUAAAGGGUGCGCAGGCGGGCGAUUAAGUCAGCGGUGAAAGGCCCGGGCUCAACCGGAGCAGUGCCGUUGAUACUGGUUGUCUUGAAUGCGGUCAAGGCCGGCGGAAUGUGGCGUGUAGCGGUGAAAUGCAUAGAUAUGCCACAGAACACCGAUAGCGAAGGCAGCUGGCGGGGCCUGCAUUGACGCUCAGGCACGAAAGCGUGGGGAUCGAACAGGAUUAGAUCCCCUGGUAGUCCACGCUGUAAACGAUGGACACUCGUUGUCGGCGACAGACAGUCGGCGGCCAAGCGAAAGUGAUAAGUGUCCCACCUGGGGAGUACGGUCGCAAGGCUGAAACUCAAAUGAAUUGACGGGG